CAAUAGCGUAUAUUAAAGUUGUUGCAGUUAAAAAGCUCGUAGUUGGAUUUCUGGUGAGAUGGAUUAUGUCUAGGUCGAAAGAUCUUGUUCAUGGUUCGUUUUGCCCUUCUUGUCAGGAACCCGCUGAGAUUCGCGUCUUGUCGGUGGAAUGGCAUCGUUUACUGUGAAAAAAUUAGAGUGUUCAAAGCAGGCAUCGCCGUUGAAUACAUUAGCAUGGAAUAAUAAGAUAAGACUUUGGUGGUCUAUUUUGUUGGUUUGCACGCCAAAGUAAUGAUUAAUAGGGAUAGUUGGGGUUAUUCGUAUUCUAUUGCUAGAGGUGAAAUUCUUAAAUUUAUGGAAGACGAACUACUGCGAAAGCAUUUACCAAGGAUGUUUUCAUUAA
rnacentral:rRNA from 1 species